rnacentral:rRNA from 1 species
AUUGAACGCUGGCGGCAGGCCUAACACAUGCAAGUCGAGCGGAGCGGCGGACGGGGGAGGGAUGCCUAGGAAUCUGCCUGGUCGUGGGGGAUAACGUCAGGAAACGGGCGCUAAUACCGCAUCCUAUCAGAUGAGCCUAGGUCGGAUUAGCUAGUGGGUGGGGUAAAGGCCUACCAGGGCGACGACCCGUAACUGGUCUGAGAGGAUGAUCAGGCACACUGGAACUGAGACACGGUCCAGACUCCUACGGGAGGCAGCAGUGGGGAAUAUUGGACAAUGGGCGAAAGCCUGAUGCAGCCAUGCCGCGUGUGUGAAGAAGGUCUUCGGAUUGUAAAGUACUUUAAGUUGGGAGGCGUUACCAACAGAAUAAGCACCGGCUAACUUCGUGCCAGCAGCCGCGGUAAUAC